GAUUUCUGGCGAACUGUAGCGGCCCGUGCUCGUAUCGGGCGUGUGUGCCGUGACAUGUUUGUCAUCCUUCCAGAGAGCUGCGUCUACCAUUCAUUUGGCCGGACGUACGCGAUCUGGAUCUAUUACUUUGAAAAAAUUAGAGUGUUUAAAGCAGGCUUAUGCUAUGAAUACAUUAGCAUGGAAUAAUAAUUUAGGACUUUGGUUCUAUUUUGUUGGUUUCUAGGACUGAAGUAAUGAUUGAUAGGGAUAGUUGGGGGUGCUAGUAUUCCGCGGCCAGAGGUGAAAUUCUUGGAUUCGCGGAAGACUAACUACUGCGAAAGCAUU
rnacentral:rRNA from 1 species